AAAAGGAAAAGUCUAAUUCCCAAGGACUGAGGGGAGCAUAUUUGAGGGAAGAAUAUAUUGUUGCGUUAACAGACAAAAAAUUGAAAAAAGCCUUUGAAGAAAACUUUCAUUUAGCUGGACUAUAUUGUGAAAAAGUUUUGUUCAAGGAGGCCUUGUGUGUCUUAUUCCAGAGCGUUACUGGAGCCAAUUACCAUGAUGCAGAAAAAGAGUGUUUGGCGGUCCAGAAUGCAUCCAUGAUACAAGCCAUGAAAGAUGGACUCAACAUAUGUAAUUCUGCUUAUUUUUAUUAUUCAGUGCAUAUACUACUGACAAGAAACUGAUAUAUAAAAUGCAUGUAUAACAUACAUGUAUAGUUAUUUAUUGUUCCACGUUCUGUAAGGUAUUUAUUUUAUAGUAUUAUGAAAGUUCUAUCUUGUUCUAUGCCUAGCCUCAGACAGAGUGCUUUAUUGAUUUCCACCUAGACCUGUUUGUCCUUCUGUUUGAUGCACUGUGGCUGUUUGUACUGACAUUCUAAAAGAAUAUUGACAUUACUUUGCUAUUUAUGUCUCCCAAUCUACUGUUUAAGGUAAAGUAAAUACAUUGAAAUGCUGUUAAAGAAAUAAAAGUUAAUUGUGUAUUUUUGUAGAAUCUUGACAAAAAAUUUAAGUUUAAUCAAAUAAUUUAAUUCUUUCGGAAAUGUUUAAAGAAAGAAUGCUGGUUAAAAAUUUUGUCAAUUUCAGAUAUGGAUAUUUUUUUUUCAGAUGUAUUUAUCAUAACAGUAUUCUAAUUAAUAACUCAUUUUUAAACAAAUUAUAUAUUUUAACUGAUCACCUUAGAAUUCAUUGUCAAAUAUUUUGAAGGAAGAAACAUUAAAAAUGAUAAUUAAAAAGUGUUUGUCAAUUCAUUUUGUGAUUGUAAUUGUACUGACUUGAAUAUCAUUAUAUGUUGUUGUUUUUUUUUUUUUUGAUAGGCUGAUAACCCUCCUUUACGUAGACAAUGUAAAAUAUCAUAAUGUAAAAUUGGUCUACUAGAGCAAGAGGUCUCAAUUUAGACUAUACAUUUUAUAAAAUAAUAUUGAUGUUCUUUAAGGAUUUUUGAAAUGAUAUAAUGUGAAAGGUAUUAUACAUAUAUUUUAGACAACAUUUUUUUGUCUGUUUAAAGAUGGAACUCGUUGCUUCAUGAGCUAUAUUGUCCAGAAGAAUCAAUUCUCAAAAAUCAUACUGUCUUAACUACAUGUCACAUGCUGUGUAUUCUCUGAAAUUCCAAUUGAAGCAAGUGUCCCUGAUUGAUAGUAAUGGCACAAGUGUGCAUCAUUUCUUACAUUCUAGAGAUGCUAGUAUGUCUAAUUUCACCAUAUUACAUGCCUAUAUAUAUAUAAAAAAAUUGAAAUACAUACAAUAAUAAAGUUAUAAAUGUCUUUAAGCAUGUGUUCUUUUUCUUCCUGGUAGAUCUGCCUUGUGUAGUUCUCAGUAGGACAGUUAAAGAUGCUCGCCCGCAGAAAGGUUUACGGAUUCACACCACUAUAUAGUUAUGUAGGAAAAAGUAAAGCAUUGCAAACGGUUUAUUUUUCCAAUGUAGUCUAUAUAAUGUACAAAUUUUGACCCUCAAAGCUUGCGUUAGUAACAUUUGAAGACAAUAUACAUUUUUUGACCCUCAGUCCUUGGGAUCGUAACUUCAGAGUUCAUGUAUAUAUCUUGAACCUCAGUGCUUGGGAUGGUAACUUCAGAGGUCAAUAUACAUAUUAUGACGCUCAAUACCUCUGGGUUGGUAACUUUUGAAGACAAUAUACAUAUUUUGACCCUCAGUGCUUGGGAU
rnacentral:lncRNA from 1 species